rnacentral:rRNA from 1 species
AGAGUUUGAUCCUGGCUCAGGAUGAACGCUGGCGGCGUGUUUAAGGCAUGCAAGUCGAGCGGUCGCCGCAAGGCGACAGCGGCAAACGGGUGAGUAACACAUUGGUAACCUGCCUCAAAGUGGGGGACAACCUUUCGAAAGAAAGGCUAAUCCCGCAUGUGGUCCUUCGACGCGAGUCGAAGGAAGAAAGGUUCGCAAGAAUCGCUUUGAGAGGGGCCUAUGGUCUAUCAGCUUGUUGGCGGGGUAACGGCCCACCAAGGCUGCGACGGAUAGCGGGCGUGAGAGCGCGACCCGCCUCACUGGGACUGAGACACUGCCCAGACUCCUACGGGAGGCUGCAGUUAAGAAUCUUUCACAAUGCCCGAAAGGGUGAUGGAGCGACGCCGCGUGAGUGAAGAAGCCCUUCGGGGCGUAAAACUCUUUAUCAGGGACGAACAAAUGACGUACC